rnacentral:rRNA from 1 species
UACGUAGGGUGCAAGCGUUGUCCGGAAUUAUUGGGCGUAAAGAGCUCGUAGGCGGUCUGUCGCGUCUGCUGUGAAAACCCGCGGCUCAACCGCGGGCCUGCAGCCGAUACGGGCAGGCUAGAGUUCGGUAGGGGAGACUGGAAUUCCUGGUGUAGCGGUGAAAUGCGCAGAUAUCAGGAGGAACACCGAUGGCGAAGGCAGGUCUCUGGGCCGAUACUGACGCUGAGGAGCGAAAGCGUGGGGAGCGAACAGG